AUUGAACGCUGGCGGCAUGCCUAACACAUGCAAGUCGAACGAUCCUUCGGGAUAGUGGCGGACGGGUGAGUAACACGUGGGAACGUGCCCUUUGGUUCGGAACAACUCAGGGAAACUUGAGCUAAUACCGAAUGUGCCCUUCGGGGGAAAGAUUUAUCGCCAUUGGAGCGGCCCGCGUCUGAUUAGCUAGUUGGUGAGGUAAUGGCUCACCAAGGCGACGAUCAGUAGCUGGUCUGAGAGGAUGAUCAGCCACACUGGGACUGAGACACGGCCCAGACUCCUACGGGAGGCAGCAGUGGGGAAUCUUGCGCAAUGGGCGAAAGCCUGACGCAGCCAUGCCGCGUGAAUGAUGAAGGUCUUAGGAUUGUAAAAUUCUUUCACCGGGGACGAUAAUGACGGUACCCGGAGAAGAAGCUCCGGCUAACUUCGUGCCAGCAGCCGCCGUAAGAC
rnacentral:rRNA from 1 species